CAACCCUCAAGUCCCCUGUGGACUUGGUGUUGGGGACCGGCGACACACAGCUGUUUACAGUUGGUCGCCGCCCCCUAAAUGACUUGGCGGCCUCGUCGCGGCCCUCCUCUGCGUAGUAGCACACACCUCGCAACAGGAGCCCGGCGAAUGGCCACUGCCGUAAAACCCCCAACUUCUUUUUAGAG
rnacentral:misc_RNA from 1 species